rnacentral:rRNA from 1 species
GUCUUUAUGAUUAUAAUUUAAAGUCUAAUCUGCCCACUGAGAAAUUAAAGGGCCGCAGUAAUUUGACUGUGCAAAGGUAGCAUAAUAAUUAGUUUUUUAAUUGAAAGCUGGAAUGAAUGAUUGGACGAGAAUAAAGCUGUCUUUAUUUAAUUUAAUUAGAAUUUAAUUUUUAAGUUAAAAAGCUUAAAUAUUAUUUAAAGACGAGAAGACCCUAUAGAGUUUAAUAUUUAAAAUUUACUUAAUUAUUAAGAUUAUUUUUUAAGUUUAAUUAGAGUAUUUUAUUGGGGUGAUAGAAAAAUUUAUUAAACUUUUUUAUUAUUUAAACAAAAAAUUUUGGUUAUUUGAUCUUAAAUUUGGAUUAAUUGAUUAAAUUACCUUAGGGAUAACAGCGUAAUUUUUUUGGAAAGUUCAUAUUGAUAAAAAAGAUUGCGACCUCGAUGUUGGAUUAAGAUUAAGUUUUAAUGUAGAAGUUAAAAAUUUUAAGUCUGUUCGACUUUUAAAAUCUUACAUGAUC